UUUGGUGAUGAUUUUGAUGACG
rnacentral:miRNA from 1 species